rnacentral:rRNA from 1 species
AGCUAUAUGGGUUAAUAUAUAGUUAUUUCUGCUCAAUGAUAUUUAAAUAGCCGCAGUACUCUGACUGUGCAAAGGUAGCAUAAUCAAUUGGCUUUUAAUUGGAGUCUGGCAUGAAAGAAAAUAUGGGUAGUGACUGUCUUAGCACAUUUCUUUGAACUUAUUUAGCAAGUGCAAAUACUUGUUGUUUAACAAUAGACGAGAAGACCCUAGAAACUUGAAUUAGUUUUUGCUGGGGCGGCAGGAUUACAUUUAACUAAUCUUAUGUACAUGACGUAUUACUGAGAGUAUAAGUUACUCUAGGGAUAACAGCAUAAUUUUAAGAGUUUGUGACCUCGAUGUUGGACUAGGUACUAUACCCUUAAGACAAGGGUUUAUUAUGCUCUGUUCGAGCAAUAUUACCUACAU